rnacentral:rRNA from 1 species
GUGGGGAAUUUUGGACAAUGGGCGAAAGCCUGAUCCAGCCAUGCCGCGUGCAGGAUGAAGGCCUUCGGGUUGUAAACUGCUUUUGUACGGAACGAAACGGUCCUGGUUAAUACCUGGGGCUAAUGACGGUACCGUAAGAAUAAGCACCGGCUAACUACGUGCCAGCAGCCGCGGUAAUACGUAGGGUGCGAGCGUUAAUCGGAAUUACUGGGCGUAAAGCGUGCGCAGGCGGUGCUGUAAGACAGGCGUGAAAUCCCCGGGCUCAACCUGGGAAUUGCGCUUGUGACUGCAGUGCUGGAGUACGGCAGAGGGGGAUGGAAUUCCGCGUGUAGCAGUGAAAUGCGUAGAUAUGCGGAGGAACACCGAUGGCGAAGGCAGUCCCCUGGGCCUGUACUGACGCUCAUGCACGAAAGCGUGGGGAGCAAACAGGAUUAGAUACCCCGGUAGUCC